AAAACAUCUUUUCUUGUUUUAUUAUUUGAAAUUUGACCUGCCCAAUGAUUAUUUUAAUGGCCGCAGUAUUUUAACUGUGCAAAGGUAGCAUAAUCAUUAGUCUAUUAAUUGUGGACUUGUAUGAAUGGUUGGACGAAAUAUUUACUGUCUCUCAUUUUAUUAUAUAAUUUGAAUUUUUGGUUAAAAUGCUUAAAUUUUGUUGUUGGACGAGAAGACCCUAUAGAUCUUUAUUAUUAUUUAUUUUUAUUUUUUUGGUUUAACAUUUGUUAAUUUAUAAUUUAUUUAAUUGUUUUGUUGGGGCGAUGUAGAGAAAAAUAUAACUCUUUAUUUUUAUUUUCACUGAUUAGUGUUUUCUUGACCUUUUAUUAAUGUUAUAAGAUAUAGAUACCUUAGGGAUAACAGCGUAAUCUUUUUUGAGAGUUCUUAUCGACAAAAGGGGUUGCGACCUCGAUGUUGGAUUAAGAUUAUUAUUGGGUGUAGUUGCUUAAUUAAUAGGUCUGUUCGACCUUUAAAAUCUUACA
rnacentral:rRNA from 1 species